rnacentral:rRNA from 1 species
UACGUAGGGGGCAAGCGUUGUCCGGAUUUAUUGGGCGUAAAGAGCGUGUAGGCGGCCAAACAGGUCCACUGUGAAAUCCCGGGGCUUAACCCCGGGCGUGCAGUGGAUACGGGCUGGCUGGAGGCAGGCAGGGGAGAAUGGAAUUCCCGGUGUAGCGGUGAAAUGCGCAGAUAUCGGGAGGAACACCGGUGGCGAAGGCGGUUCUCUGGGCCUGUGCUGACGCUGAGGAGCGAAAGCGUGGGGAGCGAACAGG